rnacentral:rRNA from 1 species
GCGAACGGGUGAGUAACACGUGGACAACCUGCCUCAAGGCUGGGGAUAACAUUUGGAAACAGAUGCUAAUACCGAAUAAAACUUAGAGUCGCAUGACACAAAGUUAAAAGGCGCUUCGGCGUCACCUAGAGAUGGAUCCGCGGUGCAUUAGUUAGUUGGUGGGGUAAAGGCCUACCAAGACAAUGAUGCAUAGCCGAGUUGAGAGACUGAUCGGCCACAUUGGGACUGAGACACGGCCCAAACUCCUACGGGAGGCUGCAGUAGGGAAUCUUCCACAAUGGGCGAAAGCCUGAUGGAGCAACGCCGCGUGUGUGAUGAAGGCUUUCGGGUCGUAAAGCACUGUUGUAUGGGAAGAACAGCUAGAAUAGGAAAUGAUUUUAGUUUGACGGUACCAUACCAGAAAGGGACGGCUAAAUACGUGCCAGCAGCCGCGGUAAUACGUAUGUCCCGAGCGUUAUCCGGAUUUAUUGGGCGUAAAGCGAGCGCAGACGGUUUAUUAAGUCUGAUGUGAAAGCCCGGAGCUCAACUCCGGAAUGGCAUUGGAAACUGGUUAACUUGAGUGCAGUAGAGGUAAGUGGAACUCCAUGUGUAGCGGUGGAAUGCGUAGAUAUAUGGAAGAACACCAGUGGCGAAGGCGGCUUACUGGACUGCAACUGACGUUGAGGCUCGAAAGUGUGGGUAGCAAACAGGAUUAGAUACCCUGGUAGUCCACACCGUAAACGAUGAACACUAGGUGUUAGGAGGUUUCCGCCUCUUAGUGCCGAAGCUAACGCAUUAAGUGUUCCGCCUGGGGAGUACGACCGCAAGGUUGAAACUCAAAGGAAUUGACGGGGACCCGCACAAGCGGUGGAGCAUGUGGUUUAAUUCGAAGCAACGCGAAGAACCUUACCAGGUCUUGACAUCCUUUGAAGC